GACGAACGCUGGCGGCGUGCUUAACACAUGCAAGUCGAACGGAAAGGCCCUGCUUUUGUGGGGUGCUCGAGUGGCGAACGGGUGAGUAACACGUGAGUAACCUGCCCUUGACUUUGGGAUAACUUCAGGAAACUGGGGCUAAUACCGGAUAGGAGCUCCUGCUGCAUGGUGGGGGUUGGAAAGUUUCGGCGGUUGGGGAUGGACUCGCGGCUUAUCAGCUUGUUGGUGGGGUAGUGGCUUACCAAGGCUUUGACGGGUAGCCGGCCUGAGAGGGUGACCGGCCACAUUGGGGCUGAGAUACGGCCCAGACUCCUACGGGAGACAGCAGUGGGGAAUAUUGCACAAUGGGCGGAAGCCUGAUGCAGCAACGCCGCGUGCGGGAUGACGGCCUUCGGGUUGUAAACCGCUUUCGCCUGUGACGAAGCGUGAGUGACGGUAAUGGGUAAAGAAGCACCGGCUAACUACGUG
rnacentral:rRNA from 1 species